rnacentral:lncRNA from 1 species
UUAAAAUAAACCAUUUAUUUUAAAACACCUAUCAUCACAUGCACACCUUUACUUAGGCUCAUCGCAACAUAAUUAAUCGUUAAAACAACUACUCAUUCAAAUAAGUUCAAUCAUGACUUUUAUUUGAAAUUAAACUCAAUCAGGGAAAUAUACCUUCAACAACAAAGCAAAUAAAAAACAAGAGUUAUAACAAAUAAUCUC